GGUUUCGUACUUUAUAUAUAGAAGAUUUGGUUUGCAACUAAAAAGAAGACUAUUAAGUCUCUAAACCA
rnacentral:tRNA from 1 species